rnacentral:misc_RNA from 1 species
GAUGAAGAACGUAGCGAAAUGCGAUACUUGGUGUGAAUUGCAGAAUCCCGUGAACCAUCGAGUCUUUGAACGCAAGUUGCGCCCGAAGCCAUUAGGCCGAGGGCACGCCUGCCUGGGUGUCACACGUCGUUGCCCCCCCAUCUACUCCUUCGGGAUUGCGGGGGGCGGAUGAUGGCCUCCCGUGCGCCUCGUCGCGCGGUUGGCAUAAAUGCCAAGUCCUCGGCGACGCACGCCACGACAAUCGGUGGUUGCGAAACCUCGGUUGCCCGUCGUGGGCGGUCGUCGCGCAUCGAGGGCUCGAAAAAAUUGCCGGGCUCCGGCUCGGCUUUCAACGCGACCCCAGGUCAGGCGGGGUUACCCGCUGAAUUUAAGCAUAUCAAUAAGCGGAGGA